rnacentral:rRNA from 1 species
AGAGUUUGAUCAUGGCUCAGAAUCAACGCUGGCGGCGUGCCUAACACAUGCAAGUCGAACGAGAAAGUGGAGCAAUCCNNGGUAAAGUGGCGCACGGGUGAGUAACACGUGACUAACCUACCCUUGAGUGGGGAAUAACUUCGGGAAACCGAGGCUAAUACCGCAUAAUACCCACGGGUCAAAGGAGCAAUUCGCUUAAGGAGGGGGUCGCGGCCGAUUAGUUAGUUGGCGGGGUAAUGGCCCACCAAGACGAUGAUCGGUAUCCGGCCUGAGAGGGCGCACGGACACACUGGAACUGAAACACGGUCCAGACUCCUACGGGAGGCAGCAGUGGGGAAUUUUGCGCAAUGGGGGAAACCCUGACGCAGCAACGCCGCGUGGAGGAUGAAGUCCUUCGGGACGUAAACUCCUUUCGAUCGGGACGAUUAUGACGGUACCGGAAGAAGAAAGCCCCCGGCUAACUUCGUGCCAGCAGCCGCGGUAAUACGAGGGGGGGCGAGCGUUGUUCGGAAUUAUUGGGCGUAAAGGGUGCGUAGGCGGUUUGGUAAGUCUGAUGUGAAAUCUCUGGGCUCAACUCAGAGUCUGCAUCGGAAACUGCCGGGCUUGAGUAUGGGAGAGGUGAGUGGAAUUCCUGGUGUAGCGGUGAAAUGCGUAGAUAUCAGGAGGAACCCUGUGGCGAAAGCGGCUCACUGGACCAUAACUGACGCUGAUGCACGAAAGCUAGGGGAGCAAACAGGAUUAGAUACCCUAGUAGUCC